GGGCCGGACAGCCGCGCGGAACGGCCGAAAGGCCCACCGUGAGGAAAGUCCGGGCUCCACAGGGCAAGGAUAACGGGUAACGCCCGCCGAAGGCGACUUCAGGAAAAGUGCAACAGAGAGAUACCGCCCCGUCACCGCGGAAACAGGUCCCGCCCCUACGCGAUUCGCAAGGGGUCCCGGGAAACCGCUUCGCCCCGACGGGGCAAGGGUGGAAAGGCGAGGUAAGAGCUCACCCGCCGGCUGGAGACUGUCCGGCGCUGUAAACUCUAUCCGGAGCAACACCGUGGAGGAGACAUUGGCUGGCCCGGCCGUCUCCGGGGAGGUGGCAUGGAGCGUGUCGGCAACGGCACGACAAGAUAGAUGGCUGUCUAAGACAGAACCCGGCUUACAGACCCGAU
rnacentral:RNase_P_RNA from 1 species